GUAAGCAUGUAGGGCGGAACGUAGGUAAAUCCGCGUUCUAUUCAGCCUGAGAUGUGAUGCCGAGCCGAUUGUGGUGAAGUGGAUGAUCCUAUGCUGCCGAGAAAAGCCUCUAGUGGGUGUUGUGGCGGCCCGUACCCUAAACCGACCCAGGUGGUCAGGUAGAGAAUACCAAGGCAUCGGGUGAACUGUGGUUAAGGAACUCGGCAAAUUGCCCCCGUAACUUCGGGAGAAGGGGGACCUCUGCUGGUGAUGGGCUUUACGUUCUGAGCUGGUGGGGGUCGCAGUGGCCAGGGUGAAGCGACUGUUUACUAAAAACACAGGUCCGUGCGAAGUCGUAAGACGAUGUAUACGGACUAACGCCUGCCCGGUGCCGGAACGUUAAGGGGACCGCUUAGCCAACGCGAGUUGGCGAAGGUGAGAACUUAAGCGCCGGUAAACGGCGGUGGUAACUAUAACCAUCCUAAGGUAGCGAAAUUCCUUGUCGGGUAAGUUCCGACCUGCACGAAUGGCGUAACGACUUCCCCGCUGUCUCAACCACAGACCCGGCGAAAUUGCACUACGAGUAAAGAUGCUCGUUUCGCGCAGCAGGACGGAAAGACCCCGGGACCUUCACUACAGCUUGACAUUGGCGUUUGGAACGUCUUGUGUAGGAUAGGUGGGAGACUGGGAAGCUGUCACGCUAGUGAUGGUGGAGUCAUUGGUGAAAUACCACUCUGGUCGUUUUGAACGUCUAACUCUGGUCCGUGAUCCGGAUCGGGGACAGUGUCUGGUGGGUAGUUUAACUGGGGCGGUUGCCUCCUAAAGAGUAACGGAGGCGCCCAAAGGUUCCCUCAGCCUGGUUGGCAAUCAGGUGUUGAGUGUAAGUGCACAAGGGAGCUUGACUGUGAGACUGACAGGUCGAGCAGGAGCGAAAGCUGGGACUAGUGAUCCGGCAUCGGCGUGUGGAAGCGGUGUCGCUCAACGGCUAAAAGGUACCCCGGGGAUAACAGGCUGAUCUUCCCCAAGAGUCCAUAUCGACGGGAUGGUUUGGCACCUCGAUGUCGGCUCGUCGCAUCCUGGGGCUGGAGUAGGUCCCAAGGGUUGGGCUGUUCGCCCAUUAAAGCGGUACGCGAGCUGGGUUUAGAACGUCGCGAGACAGUUCGGUCCCUAUCCGCUGCGCGCGCAGGAGACUUGAAGGGGGCUGUCCCUAGUACGAGAGGACCGGGACGGACGAACCUCUGGUGUGCCAGUUGUACCGCCAGGUGCACGGCUGGUUGGCUACGUUCGGAAGGGAUAACCGCUGAAAGCAUCUAAGCGGGAAGCUCGCCUUGAGAUGAGGUCUCCCACCCCGUGAGGGGGUAAGGCUCCCGGUAGAUCACCGGGUUGAUAGGCCGGAGGUGGAAGCACGGUAACGUGUGGAGCUGACCGGUACUAAUAGGCCGAGGACUUGACCAC
rnacentral:rRNA from 1 species